CCCGACUGCAGCCAGCCUGCAACUUUGCGGCGGUCCUCGUCCUGCCAGGAACUCCCCCGAGGCUGCGAGGCGGGGAGGCGGCGGAGCCGCGGACGGCAGCGCGGGGCGAGGAGCCGGAGAAUUCAACUUCCGGCUUAACAGCAAGACUAAAGGCUGUCACAGGUGACCCUGCAGAGCCCUGAGCCCUCUUACAUUACUGAACUACAGCCAGUCCCUCAGGAUCUCUGAGCCCGAUCCCAGCCCUGAACCUCCAAAGUUCUGUCAGUGUCAGCUGAGGGCAGCCCUUUCUGGAAGCAAGAGGGUUCUCCCAAAGGAAAACGAGGCGGAGCUGCCUGCCACCUGCUACAAUCAAAUUCAAGAAAGUCUGUGACCACUGUAUGUGAAUCUCAUAAAGGCAUGUCUGUAAGAAAGGUACUAAUCACCUGAGGGACAAGCAGAACAGUUUUUAUGAAACAUACCGGUUACAGGAAUUUGACAGAUCUCCUGCACAAAUCGGUUUUUUUUCUUUUCUUUUUUUUCAAGAUUUUAUUUAUUUAUUUUUCAGAGGGGGAGAGAGAGAGCACAAGCAGGGGGAGCUGCAAGCAGUGGGAGAAGCAGGCUCCCCACUGAUCAGGGAGCCCGAUGUGGGACUCGAUCCCACCACCCUGAGAUCAUGCCCGGAGCCAGAGGCAGGUGCUUAACCAACUGAGCCACCCAGGCACUUCACACAUCAGUUCUGAAAGAAAUAGCAUUUGUCCAGAAAAGGUUUUGUUUGUUUGUUUGUUUGUUUGUUUGUUUGUUUGUUUGUUGUUUUUUUGAGGUCAGGAGAAAAAUUCCCUAAAGGUCCAGAAGCCCUGCGACUAGCGGUUCCCGAAGAACGUGCUUGCUGCCGAGGACGGCCAGUGUUGCCGCGCGCCCAGAACAAAGCACGGUGCGCACCCGGCCUGCAGGGCCGCUGAGAUUGGAGGCUUAAACGUGAAGACCUUAAACGAUCCAAGCCAGACAAUGACACGCGUUGAUGUUCAGUUGCGGAGAUGCCCAUGUGUCCUCGCCUAACAGCUGUCACGCUAUUUCAGAUGCAACCAAUUGGUUUAUUUUGGCCCAAAGAAAGAUUUGGACAUCUAUUUGAACAUUAGAAGCACAGCAUGGCUCACUGGAUUCAACAAUUGAACAGAAUGU